AAAAAUCAAACCAAAUGUUGACAAUUUAGAUUUCGAGAGAUUGAGACACGACACAGAUCAAGUGGCAAGGUUUUACAACAAAGAAAAAAUUGCAUCCUGGUGGGACAGCUUUUUAUCAGAAUUAGAAGAGGAAGAUGAUGAUGAAUUACCGCCACUGUCAUUAAUUCAAAACCUUAGGGAAAAGAAGUGCGAUGCAAUAGUGCAGGAAGAGCCUGUUGAGCACCUUACUCCAGAAGAUGAGCCCAUUCCACAAGUUGUAAUUGGAAAAAAGACUCAUAUUAUUGAUGAGGAAAUCAAAGAAGGCGACCUGGUUUUGACUGACACACCUCUGUCACCUGAGGACUGGCCUCAAGUAGCCCGUGUUGUUGAAAUUCUGCCGGAGAACAGGUUGAAGUUGCAACCCUACUGGGGAAAAAAGACAACAACCUGGACUCCGGCAUACAGGAAAAACAAGGGCCCAAUUUAUAUCACAGUGAAUAAGAAUGUCAUAUGGCAUCAUGGGUUCAAUUUGACCCAAAGUGGCUAUCUGCCUAAAAAUAUAAAAGAACUCGUAGGAAAGUACGAGGAGGACAACUUAUAAACAUCGUGCUAGUAUUAUAAGGUCCUAUCUCCAUUUUCAUGAAAAUUGUGUAUGAUAUACCACUGGAUUCAGAAUUAAAAGAUCUAUCUCCAGGUGGUUUCCAUUUAUGUAUGAGGUUACCCUGCUUGAUAUAAUAGCAUGUAUAUCAUUUUCCACUGUCGAAAUUAAUAGUGGAAUUAAUUAUUAUGUUGCCCUAUCAUGUCCAUCAGCCAAUCAGUUAUUGUGUGCGAGGUCAUGUGACAGAUUUUGCUUUGUCAAAAAGCAUUGACACCAUUGCUUAAAGUGGCUGCCAUAAGUAAGUUAGUUUUUUAGUAUCAUAUUUGAUAAAUUACUUGGAAAUAUUGCCAGUAAGUCAAAGAAAAACCUUUAAUUCUUUUAAAAGAGAUAAUGCCAUUAUAUAUAGUUACCGCCUUUAAAAUAUAAAUGGUUAUAAACACUACUCCUGGAGAUAGGGCAUUGUAAUUCUAAAGAGAAAAUUUUUUAUUUUGUUUUAAUAUUUUCAAAAACAUGGCAAUAAAUAGAAGGUAGUGUUGUUUAAGGCUAAUGUACUUAUUCUGAAACAUUUUUAAUCAUCUAUUUGAGCUAUCAAAAAAAAUAUUAAUAAAGUAUCGUGAAAAAAGUCGUUAUAAAUUUUAUAAAAUAUAACUUUUGAACAAUGGAUAUAUUCGGAUGUUUGAAUUUCGGAGAUAGUUGUUCUUUCUUGUUUUAAUAUACUGUCGUCUAUAUAACCAACUGUUGUUGUAGUUUAAGAUACUUUAAUUGUUUCAGAGUUCAUUGAAUGUAGAUGUCAGAGCAUAUACUAGUGUUUAUUUUGUGAUUUCUUCCAUUAGAAUGUUUACUUGACAGUGUUUAACCAACAUGUAAAAGAAUCCACAACUGCGUAUUAAAUGUUUCUGCCUUUUAUGAGAAAUUUUGAAUUUUCUUCUCCAUUUAGCCUAAACGAUAGAUGCAUCCACAAUAUUUUCCAAAAUGCUCGUGGGCUUCAACUAUUUUUAUUCCAUGAAUAUUAAUCUUUCCAACAUUUAAACUUUACCAAUGAUUUAAGUUCGCUCAGUCACUGUAUAUCAACAUAUUGGUUAGAUAUUUCAGACAGUCCAAUUUAAUAAUUGUCACAUCUAGAAUAAAACUUAAUGUCUCACAUUGCAGAAAGUUAAACGACUUCGAUUUUCCUGCUAUUAGAUUUUAUCAUCAAAUACUGUCAAUUACCAGUAGAUCUAUAUCUUUUGUCUCAUGCAAAAUCAGGUGAACAAUCAAGUUCCUUUAAAACUUUGUUUUAUGGCAGAAAAUGAGGAUCACAUAUAGUUUAAAGAACUUAUUGAAAAUGCUUACAUUGACUGUUCCUUUCAUAGUUUUCAAAAUGAGUAAAGUUUAUUUCAGCUGAAUGAAGUUUUUGCAAAUCCUCCAAUCUAUUAUUAUGUUUUUGUAGUAUGUGCUGCCUUUUAAAUUGUGACAGGAGUUGUUGCAUUUUUAUUGUACAUUUUGUUAAUCUAUAGAGGUAAUUUUUUUAAACAUUUUGGUCUUUUUAACAGAGAGAGAUAAAAUCAAGAACUUAUUCAAGACAAAGUGACAGAUAUAUAAACAUGUUAAACUUUCCAUUUUAUCAGAGAGUUGAUUUUGUAUUCGGUUUUUGUCUGAAACUAAGUGAAUUAAGUGUUUUUGUUCGUUAACAUUGCAGAAUUUGUUUAGGCUGGAAAAACUAUUGCAUAAUAGAUUAUAGUUAUUUUAUAUAUGUUAAAUAAUAAAGUGAUUGUGUUGAAAUCUUUGGUUUCAGUUUUGUAAAAAAUUCACAUUGCAUGUAAAGUACAAGUAGUUUAUUGCGAUAUAUGUAUAAUAAACAGAAAUGUUCAAGGGGAGUAAUUAAAUUUAGUUAUAUAGAGGAUAUUGAAUGAGUGUAAGUUCAAUACUGAAUUUAUUGCACGAGUUGAAUAAAAUUAUAUUAUGCGAGUCUCUGCGAGUGCAAUAAAUUCAGUAAUGAACUUACGCGAAUUUAAUUUUCUAUUUAUCGCAUACCCAAUAUACAGACCAUUUAAAGUGAAAUAAGAGUCAUUUUUCAUUGACGCGCCUAUAUUCUUGCAUCUCAGACAGCAUUAUCUACCGUUUACACCGGUGCUAGAAAACUCUGUCUUACACCCCUAUGUAAGACAAGUCGCGUGCUUUAAAUGACGUCAUUGACGCGCGCCUUUUAUGAAUGAAUCGCUUUCUUAAGAUGACGUCAUUUUUCAGUUAUGAAUGAAAUUGUAUGUUCAUACGCUACUAUAAGAAAAAAGUGCGUAAUGAGAAUAUCAGUUUUCAUAAUUUCUUUUCCGAAAAUAAUUGACAUGUAAUAUGCAAGAAAAAGAAUCAAACACCGGCUGCCGGUACAGACGGGAAUAUCUAGCUCUCGGGUAACUGUUUAGCGGAAACUCGGCAGAGCCUCGUUACCGCUGUAAACAGUUACCCUCGAGCUAGAUAUUCCGGUCUGUACUGGCAGCCGGUGUAAGAUUCUUAUAGUAUAACGCUAACAUUUAGCGCGUCUUUACAUUAUGUUUGUAUAACGCUAAUGACGUCACGUCAAAAUAUAUGCACGGCCGUGCAAUACCAUUUUUACGGAGUCGCAAAAUCGGCACGGGUGUGUGAUAAAAAGAUUUUUGACAUGUUAUAUGGCCCUGUAUAAACGGCUAUUUUUAAAUAUAACCAGAAUCGCUUUACCCUAUCAAAAGUAUUUUAACGAAUUUAUAUUACAGCAGUUAUAAAGAUUUUUGACAAAUUAUAUGGCCAUAUAUAGAGGAUAUUCAAGUUUUUUCUAUAAAUACAUGAUUUAUUUUCAUCGAGUGGUAUGAAAAUAAAUAUUUCAUGAGUGGCGGUAGCCACGAGUGAAAUAUGGUAAUUUUCAUGCCACAAGAUGAAAAUACAUCAUGUAUUUGUGGAAAAAACUUGAAUUUUCUGUUUAUUAUAUACAUUUUUCUCAUUUUUGACAUUAAAAUUUGAAAGACUUUCCCUUAGAGUUAGUGUACUGGCAGAAUUUAAAAGAAAGUAGUCCGGCAAGACACCAGUGAAAAUACGGAAAAUAUGUUUCACUGCAGUGAAAAAUAAAUUUUUUCAGUGAUAAUACGGAAACUGAAAAUACACAUUUUAUUUCGUCAAUAUUUCUCAAUAUUUCAUUUAAAAGUAUAUAAUAAAUAUCUAUACGGUCCUUUGGUAAUAGAGCCGGAGCCGCUAGGCCAUAUAACUGGUCUGCAAUAUUUAUAACAAAUUUAUAAUAUAUAUAAAAAAUAUAUGGAUAAUGAAUUUCUGGUCA